rnacentral:piRNA from 1 species
UAAUAGCUGGAUACGGGCCUAAUACGUCU